UCAACAAAGGCUGGUUGGGUUUUUGAAAUUUGUCAUGUAUUUUCCACAGACAGCAAAUAAUGUUCCUUUUUCAGCCGUAAAAUCAAUGUCUCUUUGCUUUGCAUUGUAGGAGAGGACUAAGGUAAACUCCUGAGGGAUCAUGUAUAGGACUUUCCACUUGACUCCUGCUGCUCCAUCAAGAAUAAAUCCGGAGAAUCACAAAGGUGCCUACCAUCUGAAUUAAACACCCUAAACUGAUAAAAUAGCACUGAAAGCAAUGGCAUCUUCAGCACUUGUGAAGCUGCAUCUGCAGUGCUGGAUCCUGCUCUGGGUUCCCCAACACAACAGAGAGGUGGAACUGCAGGAGAAAAUCCAUCAAAAUGUCACUAAGAUGAUGAAGGAAUUGGAGCUUCUCUUGUAUGACUAAAGGCUAAGACAACUGUGACUGUUCAUCCUGGAGAGGAUAAGGCUUAGGAGCAUCUUAUAAAGCACCUAACGACUUACAUGAAAGUGCACUUUUUCAUCUCCAAGGAUGAAGGAGAAAAUGAAGAUGUGCCUGUGCAGGGUCAGCUUUGUCCCAAAGACUGAAAGAUAUAGUCAUCAAAGCAAAAUAUUCACAAUUUGAUGAGUGGAAGGCUGUGAACUACCCAGGCAGACAUUAACUGGUAUGUAUAUGCUUCACUUGCUGCUGCUGCUGCUAUUACCACCCUUUUUAAUAGUGCUCUGACUGCCUUUAAAAGCAAGUUUCUUCUAAGAAUGCUUUCAUAUCUCAAACAGUUCUGGUGAUUUCAUUCUUCAGCUAUUUUCUUCCUUCAGCAGUUAAACAGCCUUUAUAAACUCAAACUCCAGAAACAUUAAAGCAAAGGGUGAUGUUUUGC